rnacentral:lncRNA from 1 species
GACUUUCUCCUAAGAAAUAAAUGGGGUGUAGAGAGAGAUGAGGGUAUUGUGCGAACAAGGAUAUGGAAACGUUCUGAAUUACAUCAGGACCCCAAUGUAUUAGCCAUGACCAAGGUUUAAAUGCACAAGCAAAAGGGGAAGUGCCUUUCAGCAGGAGGAAUGGGGCAGAAGCAAUGCACCUCAGAAGGAGGGAUGGGGCCGCAGUGUGGGGGGGGGGGGAGGAAGUACUUCUCAGCAGGAAGGAAGGGGCAGCGGACAUUUUUCUUUUGGCGACUACUGGUGGAAGCAGGAACUUGGCUUUAUCAGGGUACAUCUUGAGGUCAGGACAUCCAGCACUGACUUAGGGUUGGAACAAUCUGUAGUUGUUCUCAGAGCAGUGUGUCUGUGGCCUGCUUUUGACCCUCUUUUCUUAUCGGGGGGGGGACCCAAUUCAGAGAUCAGGACAGUAGUGUUGCAGUAAUAGCUCCCAACAAAAAGCAUAGAUGCACUCCCCACCACCAGAAAAGAAACAAAACAAAACAAAACAAAAACAAACAAAGAAACAAACAAGCAAGCAAAAAAAGCAAUAGAUACUCCAAUGCGCUGUAUAUGCUUUGUUGUGAGUAAAUCCACAAACAUGAAUGGAUAGCAACACAGGAAGGAAUUAUGCACAGCAAGGCACACACACACACACACACACACACACACACACACACACACACACACACACACACACACACACACAAAAGUAAAAAGAAACAGUCCAGUCAAGAAGCUAUUGAAGAGAGUCCUUUAAAAUUUAUAAUAAAGAAGAUGAAGUGUAUUUCUUCACAGUUGAUGAUUUCUGGUGGAGGGCAAGGAAGAUUCAUUUUUAUAGCUUGUGUUUGAUAUUUUCUAGGUUCUUCUUUUUAGACUCCAAAACACUAGGUAGGACAGAAAUAAGGGUAGAGAGAGGAAUUAGAAAAUCUCUGAAUCUAAUUUUUUUCCUAGUGCUUCUUCUUUAACUAUGGAUAUGAAAAAACCACAACCAACUUGCGUAACCAACCACCAAACACCAGACAAAAAGUACUAGCUUUGACACUCAAUCUUGUGCAAAGUUAAUGCAGCAGGAGUUUUUCACUAAUGUAUGUUGUAUGUAAAUAAAGUAUUCCACCAAACUUAGUAACUCUGUAUUCCAUACUUCCUGCAUUCAGCUGUUCACUAUUUUAAUAUUAGUCAUACCUGUUCCAUGCUGUGCCAUGUGUUUUGAUGCAAUUAAGUUUCUUCUGGGGACCUCAUAUGAAAUGCAAAUAUUGUGUGUAAAUCUCCCUUAGUGUUACUUCAUAAACAUGUUUAAUCUAUGGAGUAACAGUAUUAAUGCUUUCUCUUUGAAGCACACUUUCAGUGUUCAUAAGUAGAUACUCCUCUUUAGUAUUUUGUGAUACACUAAAUAUAACAUAUAGUGUAUACUUAGAAGAUGAAUCCAGUAAUGGAUUUUUAAAAUGUUGUGUGAGGGCUUUGUGAUUUAAAAAAAAAGUGUUCUCAAUAGUGUUGGCUGAGAUUCUGCAGUCUUGUGUGUGCUCUUUUCUAAUGAAUCAUAAUUAACGUUUAUGCUGAGACUCCGGGAGGCAGGCUUAUCAGUAGGAAGAAAGCCAUUAUAAUGGAAUCUCUCCUUUUAUAAGUAUUCCUUGUGUCUGCGUGGCCAAUUAAACAGAAACCAUGUCUUGGUAUACCUGUUGCAAUCUGAAAGCUUUGUCGUAACCAAUCAUCCCACCUCUGAGGACUUGAAUUAAUGUAACUUCCUAAAAUGUCCAAGAAUUACAAAGACACACACCACGUACAUGCACACCACAAAUUCUGACUCAUUCUCUGAUUCUGAAUCUUCCUAUGACUGUCCCUGUGACUCUGCCUCUCCUUCUUUUUCUGCCUCUACAUUCUCUACCUCAGCCUGUAUCUGAACCUCUACCUCUGCACCUUCCUAUGCCUUUGAUUGUCCCACUGCUACGUAUUAGUGCUGAGAUAACAUACAGGUUAGUUAAGUUUUAGAAUUGAUCUACUGUGGAAUUGGUUUUCUAUGAACAUUAAGUUGCCUCUCUACCUUGUACUAAAACCAUUUGAUUGAAUUUGAAUCUUCAGUAUAAUGAGAGAUGUAACCCAAAUUCAUAGGGCAACAAUUGCUAGGUAACUGUCUGGCAUUCAACAGUCACUCCACUGUUCUGAACAAACUUUUUCUAACCAGUAGUUUAAGCACAGGCAGAUAGCAUAAGUGUAAGUAUGCUAGCCUGUCAUGAUUUCAAUGUGAUAAAGAUCGGGGCCCAAAACUACAAAAGGAGGUAAUGGUUUCUUUCUGUUUACAAGUCUCAGCUUGUAAAUUGCAUGACCUAGGAAAGUCAGGUCAGAACUUGAUUCAGAGCUUGUAAGUAGAGGCAGAAACUGAAGCAGAGACUAUGGAAGAACUCUGGAUUACUUUCCUCCAAGUCAUAGGGAUGCGAGGUCCUAGGGGAUGCAAAACAGAAAAGAAAGAAAGAAAAAAUAAAAAAAAAUAAGUACCAAACAUAUCACAAUGGUUGACCUGCAUGCAUACUUUAAAGUCUGCUCUUGAUAAUAUGUGUGUUCAUUUGGAAAUCAAGUUCUCCAUGGCGAUUGGUAAACAGUAUACUUUUCAUUAAUUUUAUUGGAUGAACAUUUUUACCUGAAGGAGUGUAUUUGUUGGAUGUCAACAUUGCUGGACCACAUGGAGGUUAGCUUGUAUCAGAUCCCCUGGAACAGGACUUACAUGUGGCUGUGACACACAGGAUGAUCACUGGGAAUUGAAUCCCAGUAAAAUGCAUCCAUCCCCUGACACAUCUGGGGGCAAAGAAAUUGUGUGUUUUAAUCAGUCCUCAAACUAUUAUGUGCUCAGGCUACUAGACGAACAAGUAACUAAAUCCUGCAAGUGUUUGCCCUAAUUUAUGCUGCAUGCCCCUUUAAUGAACAAGAAAAAUGACAAUGGGGAGAUAAACCUGGAGUUUACUGGGAAGU